rnacentral:rRNA from 2 species
CCAGUAGUCAUAUGCUUGUCUCAAAGAUUAAGCCAUGCAUGUCUCAGUACAAGCCAAAUUAAGGUGAAACCGCGAAAGGCUCAUUAAAUCAGUUAUGGUUCCUUAGAUCGUACCCACAUUUACUUGGAUAACUGUGGUAAUUCUAGAGCUAAUACAUGCAAACAGAGCUCCGACCGGAGACGGAAGGAGCGCUUUUAUUAGAUCAAAACCAAUCGGUGGCGGGUCUCCCGUCACCGUACACCUUGGUGACUCUGAAUAACUUAUUGCUGAUCGCACGGUCUCGCACCGGCGACGCAUCUUUCAAAUGUCUGCCUUAUCAACUGUCGAUGGUAGGUUCUGCGCCUACCAUGGUUGUAACGGGUAACGGGGAAUCAGGGUUCGAUUCCGGAGAGGGAGCCUGAGAAACGGCUACCACAUCCAAGGAAGGCAGCAGGCGCGCAAAUUACCCACUCCCGGCACGGGGAGGUAGUGACGAAAAAUAACGAUACGGGACUCAUCCGAGGCCCCGUAAUCGGAAUGAGUACACUCUAAACCCUUUAACGAGGAUCAAUUGGAGGGCAAGUCUGGUGCCAGCAGCCGCGGUAAUUCCAGCUCCAAUAGCGUAUAUUAAAGUUGUUGCGGUUAAAAAGCUCGUAGUCGAAUUUGUGUCCCGCGCCGCCGGUUCAUCGCUCGCGGUGUCAACUGGCGUGUCCGCGGGACGUCCUGCCGGUGGGCUUAGCCCCCCGUGGGCGGCCCAAUCUCAAUCCCACCGCGGUGCUCUUCACUGAGUGUCGAGGUGGGCCGGCACGUUUACUUUGAACAAAUUAGAGUGCUUAAAGCAGGCUAAAACAUCGCCUGAAUACUGUGUGCAUGGAAUAAUGGAAUAGGACCUCGGUUCUAUUUUGUUGGUUUUCGGAACCCCGAGGUAAUGAUUAAUAGGAACGGAUGGGGGCAUUCGUAUUGCGACGU